AUCUGGGCGGCGAAAUUCAGAAUGACUGGGCCGGCCGCGUGCAUGUCCGGUCGUUUGAUAUUUUCGCCGUCGAUCAGACGUCGCGAUCUGUUUGUAGUCGGUCUUGGAGACGCGAUCGAGUUUGUUGUGGGCGCGUUUCGGCGCGUUUCACGGCAAAGGCGCGAACCUCUGGCUGGCGACGGACAGUAUGCAAUGGUGAACGACGUAUGUCGGUACCGAUCUGCGACGAUUCUUUCGGGCCUCUUCCCGACCCGUCUUGAAACACGGACCAAGGAGUCUAACAUGCGCGCGAGUCACGGGGUAUCGAGCGUACCACGGUGCGCUCGACAUAUCUCGAAACCCGUAUGUUGAAGGCGUAAUGAAAGUAAACAGGGAAGAUGGUGUUCCGAGUAUAUGUUCCGUGUUGUUUCACGGCCGGACGCCCGCAUUCCCGGGGCGUCUUAAUGGAUCGCAGUGGAUGCGGACUGUCGUCUUUCGGGGCGAUAGUCGGUCCACGGUGGUCCGA
rnacentral:rRNA from 1 species